AUGAACGCUGGCGGCGUGCCUAAUACAUGCAAGUCGAGCGAACGGACGAGAAGCUUGCUUCUCUGAUGUUAGCGGCGGACGGGUGAGUAACACGUGGAUAACCUACCUAUAAGACUGGGAUAACUUCGGGAAACCGGAGCUAAUACCGGAUAAUAUUUUGAACCGCAUGGUUCAAAAGUGAAAGACGGUCUUGCUGUCACUUAUAGAUGGAUCCGCGCUGCAUUAGCUAGUUGGUAAGGUAACGGCUUACCAAGGCAACGAUGCAUAGCCGACCUGAGAGGUUGAUCGGCCUCACUGGAACUGAGACACGGUCCAGACUCCUACGGGAGGCAGCAGUAGGGAAUCUUCCGCAAUGGGCGAAAGCAUGACGGAGUAACGCCGCGUGAGUGAUGAAGGUCUUCGGAUCGUAAAACUCUGUUAUUAGGGAAGAACAUAUGUGUAAGUAACUGUGCACAUCUUGACGGUACCUAAUCAGAAAGCCACGGCUAACUACGUG
rnacentral:rRNA from 1 species